rnacentral:rRNA from 1 species
UACGUAUGGGGCUAGCGUUGUUCGGAAUUAUUGGGCGUAAAGGGUGCCUAGGCGGGGAAUUAAGUUAGGUGUGAAAGCCAUGAGCUCAACUCGUGAACUGCAUCUAAAACUGAUUUUCUUGAGUUAGGGAGAGGAGAGCGGAAUUCCCGGUGUAGCGGUGAAAUGCGUAGAUAUCGGGAAGAACACCAGUAGCGAAGGCGGCUCUCUGGCCUAUAACUGACGCUGAAGCACGAAAGCGUGGGGAG